rnacentral:rRNA from 1 species
CCUACGGGAGGCAGCAGUGGGGAAUAUUGGGCAAUGGGCGCAAGCCUGACCCAGCAACGCCGCGUGAAGGAAGAAGGCUUUCGGGUUGUAAACUUCUUUUCUCAGGGACGAAGCAAGUGACGGUACCUGAGUAAGAAGCCACGGCUAACUACGUGCCAGCAGCCGCGGUAAUACGUAGGGGGCAAGCGUUAUCCGGAUUUACUGGGUGUAAAGGGCGUGUAGGCGGGAAAGUAAGUCAGAUGUGAAAACCACGGGCUUAACCCGGGGAUUGCAUUUGAAACUCUCUAGCUAGAGUACUGGAGAGGCAGACGGAAUUCCUAGUGUAGCGGUGAAAUGCGUAGAUAUUAGGAAGAACACCAGUGGCGAAGGCGGUCUGCUGGACAGAAACUGACGCUGAGGCGCGAAAGCGUGGGGAGCGAACAGGAUUAGAUACCCGGGUAGUC